GUUUUUAAUGAAAUUAGAAGCAGGAUAACUCUAUUUAAUAAACUUGGUGGACACAGAUGGGUUUGAAUGUUACUUUAAUAUCGAAGAAAGAAACACAUUGUGGUUAUGUUAGUCAAAUAUGGACAUUACAAAAUCAUGAAUAUCCAAGUUUUCAGUAAAACAAAGAGUGAACAGUGAAACAGUGUGGGUAUUGGUGAUAAAUGUCGUCGCGCUCAGUGUCGAUCCCCUCCCCCGCACUGAACCAGCGCUGGAUGACUCGAGGUUUCAAAAAACAACACAUACGUCACAGGCGCAGUGCGGAUGGAUAUGGGUUAGCGGGGAAAAGGUCUUGCGCAAUCCGGUUUAAACUGGUUUUAUAGCCGGGGCUACUUCACGAUUUUACUGCAGUGUAGCAGUGCGCAUGCGUGGGACGUUAAUUCAGUGGUAUCAACAAAACAUUCUUCUGCUUUAGUGUGGAAACUACCAGAAUAUUCCAACAACCACCAGUUCCGACAAAUCAAGCGUUUCGUCACUUGGUCAGGGAUUUUAGAGUUACAGUUAGGUUAUGUAUUGUGUCAGGAAUACGUCAGGGGAUACACACCUUAAUAUAAAGACAUCUCUGAGCUGUGAGUCAACUGUGAAGAGCAGAGAGUCAGUGGAAGAUGGAAAAGUAUUUUACUCCAGUGUGCGGAUCAUCAGAAGAUGAGCUUAAACUUCAGAAACAUCAACGUCAUGGUCUUCAUCACCAUGUACAGCACCGCCAUCCCAACCAAAACCAAUACAGAGGACCACAUGGCCCAAGUCCUUUGGGUGAAUACAGAAGACUCAGUGAUACUCAUGGCCUCCAUCAACACGACUACCCAAGUCACACCCUUUACCAUCGGAAUCACGCAAGCUCUGUAGGACAGAACAGCCGACAAAACACUCUUUCCAGAGCAUCCACAUCCAGCCUCUCUUCCUCCUCUUCCUCGUCGCCUUGGACAUCGGAGCCCAGUCUAGACAAUGAGAGAUACCUCCUGCAAAACAAACCCCAGCAUUCCCUGUCCUGCUCCAACAUUCCAGAAGCCAGGCAUAAGUUCCAAGAUGAGGAAUCAGAGGAUCUGGACUUUGAUCAAAGUGACUCAGCAGUUUUCUCGCACCAUCGUCACCAGCAGGAACAUCCACAAAAAAUUGGCAAAUCUGAAAAACAGCGCCAGGGUUUGACACAAAGGCAGAAGCCAUCCCAACUCCGUAGAGGCCAGAGCAGAAGUGAGGAGAGGCUAGAGCAGAGCCUCAGGGCAGUUAGAAAAGCCCACCCAAUAGAGCCAGGCCCACUGUACAAGACCACCAGCCUGGGACAAAACCUUGCCUUCAACGAAAGCACCACAGGAGCAGCAGCAAGAGGCAUGGCAGGACCUAAAAGGGCAGUGUCAUCCAUUCAGCUGCCAAGCAAAGGCAUCUUGAAGAACAAAGAUGAAGGCCAGCUGCAAGGAAAUUUCCGGAAAUCUAAGUCUAUGGAGGUACUGUCCACUAGAGUGCAAGUGACUGGUCAACGCAAGCAGAGCACAGUGGAGACAGUAAAAGCAGAUGUCCUGAAAGGAAAGCUUGAUUUUUCUGCCUUUCUGGACGAAAUCACCAUGCAGGUCAUCAGCCCAUCCAGGCUUAGCUCAUUCGGAAUCACACGGAGCCCCACACAAACGUCUCCCAAAAUGUCCCAUGAGGAACACAGACAGCCCACUAAAGCAGCCACAGCGGGACAGGAGCGCACUCAGUCCAUAACCAAACAGCACAGUUCUAAACCCACCAGAUCAGACGAGAUCAGAAAAGGAAUGGAUUCUAACUCGCCCUCUCACUCACACAGGAAACCUCAACUCAGCAAAAACAACCGUAACCGUCACACUGCCACUCCUUCCAGUCCUUCCAGCCCUCAACAGCAGCUCCAGCACCAGCAGCAUAGCUACGAGAGGCGUCCCAGCAAUACUGAGAGCCCUGCUAACAGACAUGGAGGCACAUCCUCCCACAAACAGAAGCAUGGAAAAUACAACCAACUCCACACUGAUGGCACCAGCACCAGUCCCGAGCCAGUGCAGCAGGAGAAGCACCAUCACGCCAAGCACACAGGACCUCACCGCGGAGGCCGUGGCCUGGCUGGGCAGCCUUAUACCGUACAUGAGCACAGGGGCUCUCCACCUCCAGCCAGAACCUCUGGCGUGGAAUCUGAGUCACAUUCUGGCAAGUCCUCCACAGCCACCAGCCCCAGCUCUGAGAACAGCCAGAAGCACAAACACCCUGGACACAGGAGACACUCCAAAAACUCCCAAAAGGAUUCAGCGAGCAUCGAGGACAGAGCUGAACUACUGGAGCAGUACAGCAAGGAGCUGCAUGAAAAUCUUUUGCAGGCAGUAGCUUGCAUUGAAAACAUGGAGGGAGAGCUUCAGUGCAGCAAAGCAGAAUUAAACAGCUUUAAAGAGAAAUACAAAAGGCUGCAGGAGAACUACUCUAGCUGCCAGCAGGCCAACAUUGUAAUAGAGCAGAAGCUUCAGUCUGUGGUGGACAGCAUGAACUCGGAGAGAAAAUACCACAUGCACAGGAUUAUGGAACUGACUAAGCAGCUGGAUGCAGCUAAAAAUACCAUCAUCUCACUGGAAAACAUCAAUGUUCCCUGUUUGAUUAAGGAGCUGUUGGAUAAGCAUUUUGACUCUCAGGAGGCUGUGAGGAAGAGCAAGAAUCUGAUUGGUUUUUCUCUGCUCAGAGAGGCCUAAGUGACAGACAGCAGCAUGUGACAGCAUUUUUGCCAUGGACAGAAAGUCAAGACCCGUGGACAGUGUCAGAGAAGACUGUAGUUGAUGAACACAAGGCCACCCUUCAUCCAAAACCUGAGGAUUCAAACUUACCUUUUACUGUCGCUGAUAUUAGCCAGGCCAUCUAUAGAAAGAUUACAGAUGAGAAGUCCAAAGGGGAAGACUCUAUGGUCACAGUGCAUCAUUUAGGUUUAGAGACAGACAUGCACUCUGGCAGCAUGUGGAGGGCAAAUGAUGUUCCAGCUAAUCCAUACAGCCUGGAGGAUACAGGCACAAACAGAGCAGCAGGAGUGCAGAGAAUAGACACAAGUUCAGUUAAUUCACGAAAGGACUCAAAUGAGGUCACCUAUAUUUCAGCUCAGAAGAUGCUGGAUGAUUUUAUGAGCCAGAUUCCUUCCCCAGUGCAGGAAGGCCCGUUAGAGAGAGAUCAUGUGGGCAGGGACUGGGCCAGGAGGCCUGCAGAGGGCUUUUAGGAUUCUAUAACAGAUUAGCUCCACUGAAUGUUUUAACAGUGGCAAACAGUGAAUAUCAAAUGGAAUCUAGUAAACACUUUGCAUGAUUCAUUUAUGAUGCUUAUUCUCUUUCAGCUCAUUCACUGUUAGAAUCUUUAGCAUUUCUCACUGAAAAAUUAUUUGAAAGCCUGAGGUUUCUUUAACAAGACUUUCUGGUGACAUUUGCUUUUAAGUGUCUUUACAGUUUUUAUAAUUAGAAAAGCAUUUUAAAAUGGAGAUCUAUUCUUUGUAUUUGGAACUUGAUUUUUAGUCAUAAAACAAUAUAAGAGACUAUAUAAGACUCUUACCAAAUGCAACUAUAUUUAUGAACGUGAAUAUAUUACUAUUUGCUUAUUUACUAAGACUCUGAUAACCUAUAUGACCAAAUUACAUCCACUCAUUCCAGCUUGCACCUAUAUAAUAAAAUAAAAAUAAAAAAGCA
rnacentral:lncRNA from 1 species